GGGAGUCUGGCCGAGUGGUUAAGGCGCUGUGUUUAGGCCGUGUGAAAGCAUGCUUCAACGAUCCGCAGUGGGAAACCGCGCAGGUUCGAAUCCUGCGGCUCUCA
rnacentral:tRNA from 1 species